rnacentral:rRNA from 1 species
GACGGAGGAGGCAAGCGUUAUCCGGAAUUAUUGGGCGUAAAGGGUACGUAGGCGGCUGGUCAAGUCUGGGGUCAAAGGUCACAGCUCAACUGUGGGAAGACCCUGGAAACUGACCGGGUAGAGUGAGGUAGGGGUUGCGGGAAUUCCCGGUGUAGCGGUGAAAUGCGUAGAGAUCGGGAAGAACGCCUGAGUCGGAAGCGCGCAACUGGGCCUCAACUGACGCUGAGAUUCGAAAGCGAGGGGAGCGAAUGGG